AGUCACCGCGGGAUGCCGGGCCCAGGACGGAGAAGGGGGAGCUGGGCCCGGGCAACAGUGGCCCCUGCGCGGCCCUCGCGACCUCCAGGAGGCAGGGAUGGGCCCAUGGCUGGGGCCGCUCCCCUGGACAGUCCCUGCUGGAGACCAUCCAGUGUGGCUGGGAUCUGGCCUGUGAUGCACCUGCUGCCACCAUCCUGGGAGGGGACCGGCAGGAGCCCUGUGCCCUGACCCCAGGGCCCAGCCCCCUGGCCCUCACGUUCCUGCCCAGCAAGCCGGGUGCCCGGCCCCAGCCCGAGGGAGCCAGCUGGGAUGCAGGACCUGGUGGGGCCCCCUCGGCCUGGGCAGACCCAGCAGAGGGGAGCCCCGGCCCCGCACUCCUCCCUGAGGACCCACACCCCCAGGCUCUGCCCACCGCCCUGGAGCCCCCAGCCCGAGGGAGCCAGCUGGGAUGCAGGACCUGGUGGGGCCCCCUCGGCCUGGGCAGACCCAGCAGAGGGGAGCCCCGGCCCCGCACUCCUCCCUGAGGACCCACACCCCCAGGCUCUGCCCACCGCCCUGGAGCCCCGGAUUGUGAUGGGCGAGGAGACAUGCCAGGUGCUGCCAUCCCCCAGGGCAGCCCUGCCUGUGCUCAGGGAACAGGAGCCCCGCUCUCAGGAUGACCCUCCUGUGCCUUCCCCAUCCCCAGAAACUGACCCCUACUUCACCCCUCCCUCUACCCCCACCAAGGCCACCUACGGCCUGCUUCUUGGCCAUGGGCUGCACAGGAAUGCAUGGCACCCUGAGGCUGAGCCGCUGGAGGAGCUACUGGACUCGCUGCCUUCCUCGCCCUCAGGCUCCUACGUUACAGCCGAUGGGGACAGCCAGGCCUCAUCACCCUCCUGUUCCCUCAGCCUGCUGGCCCCUGCCGAAAGGCUGGACUUCGCCUCAGCCUGGGGCCUCUCCCAGCCAGAGUCAGAGGCUGAGGGAUGGGAGCAGCACCCUGCCAAGCCUCUGUCCUCCGAGUCCAGCCUGUCAGGGGACAGCGGGUCUUCCUGGAGCCAGGAGGGCCACUUCUUUGACUUGGACUUCCUGGCCAAUGACCCAAUGAUCCCUGCAUCCCUCCUGCCCUUUCAGGGGAGCCUCAUCUUCCAAGUGGAGUCAAUGGAGGUGAUGCCGCUGUUCCCUGAGGAGGAGGAGGAAGAGGAGGUGUCACCUGACCCCCUGGGCCCAGAUGGGGAAGCAGCCGGAGAGGACGAGGAGGACAGCACUUCGGCCUCCUUCCUGCAGUCACUGUCCGACCUGUCUAUCACCGAGGGUAUGGACGAGGCCUUUGCCUUCCGGGAUGACACCUCGCCAGGCUCCUCAGACUCAGACUCAGCAUCCUAUGCAGGAGCUGACGACGACCAGCUGUACAGUGGGGAGCCCCAUGCCCAGCCCAGCACGCUGCUGCAGGAUGCUGGCCAGAAGGCGGAGCAGGAGUGUGCAGGGCGUGCUGCAUUCUGGAAUGCAGAAGCCAGGGGGACAUCACCCACCCCUCAGGUCCUAGAAGAAGCCCCUCUCAGCCAGAGCCCGGAAUCAGUCACAGGAAUCUCGGAAGAGAGCCUUGCUUCCAACCAGGAGUCUGCGGCUGCUGUGACCCCUCACACUGGGCAGGCAGUCACUGGGGUGACCCCUCAGGUGGGAGCCAAAGAAGCUGACUCUGUGGCUGGAGGAACACCUGUCACCCGGGCGUCAGCUCAGCCCUCCCAGGACAGGAGGGGCACUGCCUUCAGCUGGCCGCCUGAUGCUGCAGAGGCAAAGCCAGCUCUGCAGGAAGCAGCAGGCGCCACUGUGUCCCCAGACCCUCCUGAGCUCACGGAGGCCCAGGGGCACAGAGGCGGCCUAGGUACCCCCACAGCCCUGGAGUCUGUGGUUGUGGCCAUGCUGGAGCCCCUGCAGGCUGGAGGUGGCAUCCCAUUACCCCAGAACUCUCCUGUGACAGACCUUCCUCCCCUGAUGAAUGAAGAUCCCAUCUCAGGCCUGGAGUCCGUGGCUGUGGCCAUGGUGAGGCCUCUGCAGGUUGAAGGGGCCGUCCCAUUGCCCCAGGACUUUCCUGAGCCUGCACUUCCACCCCUGCUGGAUAAAAAUCCCACCUCAGGCCCAGAGUGUGCGGCUGUAGCCAUGCUAGAGUCUCAGGAGGCUGAAGGGGGCGUCCUGUUACCCCAGGACGUUCCCAAGCCUGCACUUCCACCCCUGCUGGAUAAAGAUCCCAUCAUAGGCCUAGAGUCUGUGGCUGCAGCCAUUUUGGAGUCUCAGGAGGCUGAAGGGGGUGUCCUGUUACCCCAGGACGUUCCCAAGCCUGCACUUCCACCCCUGCUGGAUAAAGAUCCCAUCUUAGGCCUAGAGUCUGUGGCUGCAGCCAUUUUGGAGUCUCAGGAGGCUGAAGGGGGUGUCCUGUUACCCCAGGACGUUCCCAAGCCUGCACUUCCACCCCUGCUGGAUAAAGAUCCCAUCAUAGGCCUAGAGUCUGUGGCUGCAGCCAUUUUGGAGUCUCAGGAGGCUGAAGGGGGUGUCUUGUUACCCCAGGGCUCUUCUCAGUCUGCACUUCCACGCCUGUUGGAUAAAAAUCCCACCUCAGGCCCAGAGUGUGCAGCUGUAGCCAUGCUAGAGUCUCAGGAGGCUGAAGGGGCCGUCCUGUUACCCCAGGACUCUCCUGAGACAGAGCUCCCGCCCCUGUUGGAUAAAGAUCCCACCUCGGGACAGGAGUCCAUGGCUGUGGCCAUGGUGAGGCCCCUGCAGGUUGAAGGUGGUGUACCCUUACCCCAGGACGCUCCUGAGCCUGCACUUCCACUCCUGCUGGAUAAAGAUCCCACCGUGGGACAGGAGUGUGUGGCUGCAGCCAUGCUGGAAUCCCAGAAGGUGGAAAGUGGUAUCUCAUUACUCCAGGACACUCCCAAGCCUUCACCUCCAUCUCUGCAAGAUGAAGGUCCCACCUCAGGCCCAGAGUCCAUGGCGACAGCCACACCAGGGCCCCUGCAGGCUGGAGGUGGCACCCUGUUAUCCCAGGAUGUUCCCAAGCCUUCUCCAUCUCUGCAAGACGAAGGUCCCACCUCAGGCCCAGAAGCCGUGGCUGAGACUGCGCCAGGGUCCCACGAGGAUGAAGGGGGCGUCUGCUUACCCCAGGACUGCACUGCGGCUGCGCUUCCACCCCUGGAAGACGAAAAUCCCACCUUGGGCCCAGAGGUCAUGGCUGUAGCCAGGUCAGGCCCCCUGCAGGCUAAACAGGGCAUCUCGUUCCACCAGGACCCUCCUGAAUCUUCUCCUCCGGCUCUGCAAGACGAACAUUCCACCGCAGGCCUGGAGACAGUGGCUGUGGCCACACCAGGGGCCCAGAAGGCUGAAGUAGGCUACACCCAAGGGACCAAGGCCCUGGCCUCUGUGGCCCAACAGAAAAUAGGCUCCUGGACCCCAACCCCUCUGCUCCUGGUGCCCCUUGCCGACACCAGGACCCCCAGGAAGACUUCAUGGAGGGUGAGGAGCCCCCAGCCUCUCGGGGUCCUCCACUGCUUCGACUGGGAACCCAGCGGGCCGCCGCUGCCUCAGGAACCACACAGCCUCGGGGAGCCAAGCAUCAUGUCAGCCUGGCACCCCAACCCCCCCUCAGCCCCAAGGCGGCUUCCGCAGAUAGCAAAGAGCCAGCCUCGAGGAUCUCAACCCCCUGCCAAGUGCCUCCUCCCUUGGGGCCCCGGGGCCCACGUGGUCCUCAAGGGCUCCCAGCCCCAGAGCAACAAAAGGACGAGGACAGCCUGGAGGAAGAUUUCCCAAGGGCCCCAGGCUCUGGCCAGCACUCGGACAGCCACGGGGAGUCAUCAGCCGAGCCUGACGAGCAGGACCUCUCGGCCCCUCACGCAAAGUGCCCAGCCCAGCCCCCAACGGGCAGCAGUGAGGAGACCAUCGCCAAAGCCAAGCAGAGCCGCAGUGAGAAGAAGGCUCGGAAGGCCAUGUCGAAGCUGGGCCUGCGGCAGAUUCAAGGCGUGA
rnacentral:lncRNA from 1 species